AUACUCCAGUUUCUCUUCAGAUCGUAUAAAUCUUUUGUCUUUUACUAAAGAUUUCCAUGGAGAGGAACAGGCAUGAGUGUUAAGGAAUUUUUUGAGGCUCCAUUUUGGUGGAGCU
rnacentral:snRNA from 1 species